UUCGGAAACAAGAGAAAUAAG
rnacentral:piRNA from 1 species